GAAGUUUUCAGAGAUGAGAAUGUGCCUUCGGGAACCGUGAGACAGGUGCUGCAUGGCUGUCGUCAGCUCGUGUUGUGAAAUGUUGGGUUAAGUCCCGCAACGAGCGCAACCCUUAUCCUUUGUUGCCAGCGGUUAGGCCGGGAACUCAAAGGAGACUGCCAGUGAUAAACUGGAGGAAGGUGGGGAUGACGUCAAGUCAUCAUGGCCCUUACGACCAGGGCUACACACGUGCUACAAUGGCGCAUACAAAGAGAAGCGACCUCGCGAGAGCAAGCGGACCUCAUAAAGUACGUCGUAGUCCGGAUUGGAGUCUGCAACUCGACUCCAUGAAGUCGGAAUCGCUAGUAAUCGUGGAUCAGAAUGCCACGGUGAAUACGUUCCCGGGCCUUGUACACACCGCCCGUCACACCAUGGGAGUGGGUUGCAAAAGAAGUAGGUAGCUUAACCUUCGGGAGGGCGCUUACCACUUUGUGAUUCAUGACUGGGGUGAAGUCGUAACAAGGUAACCGUAGGGGAACCUGCGGUUGGAUCACCUCCUUACCUUAAAGAAGC
rnacentral:rRNA from 1 species